CCAAUGUUAGCAAACUAAAAAUAUUGCAUUAUUAGCAUGCCUCAUGGUAUGAGAGAAUUGAUGUGAUUUAUAGCGUCAGCAAAUAAUUAUGGUAUAAAAUAUCAUGCAACAUGGUACGAUAUUUUCUGGCACAGUACUAUUGGGAUCUGAAAACAUUUUUCAAAAGGUAAUUCCCAAAAAGAUGUCCCCCUUCAAUGGCACUGACG
rnacentral:lncRNA from 1 species